GCAAGUCGAACGGUAACAUGGAGAGCUUGCUCUCUGAUGACGAGUGGCGGACGGGUGAGUAAUGCGUAGGAAUCUGCCCAACCGUGGGGAAUAACCUGGGGAAACCCAGGCUAAUACCGCAUACGUUGUGCACUUAGGUGCAGAAGAAAGCGGGGGACCUUUCGGGGCCUCGUGCUGAUGGAUGAGCCUACGUCCGAUUAGCUAGUUGGUGAGGUAAAAGCUUACCAAGGCGACGAUCGGUAGCUGGCCUGAGCGGGUGAUC
rnacentral:rRNA from 1 species